rnacentral:rRNA from 1 species
AAUGAACGCUGGCGGCAUGCCUUACACAUGCAAGUCGAACGGCAGCAUGACCUAGCUUGCUAGGUUGAUGGCGAGUGGCGCACGGGUGAGUAAUGCAUCUGAACGUGCCUUUUAGUGGGGGAUAACGUAGCGAAAGUUACGCUAAUACCGCAUAUUCUCUGAGGAGGAAAGCAGGGGACCUUCUGGCCUUUCGCUAGAAUAGCUGCCGAUGUGGGAUUAGCUAGUUGUUGAGGUAAAGGCUCACCAAGGCAACGAUCCGUAGCGGGUCUGAGAGGAUGAUCAGCCACACUGGGACUGAGACACGGCCAAGACUCCUACGGGAGGCAGCAGUGGGGAAUUUUGGACAAUGGGCGCAAGCCUGAUACAGCCAUGCCGCGUGAGUGAAGAAGGCCUUCGGGUUGUAAAGCUCUUUCGGCUGGGAAGAAAUCGCACCCUCUAAUACAGGGUGUGGAUGACGGUACCAGAAUAAGAAGCACCGGCUAACUACGUG